UCAGAAUUGCCAAGGGCUGUUCCAGCAGACAAAAUCUUACCUAACUCGGUGCCUGUGGGACACGAACCUGCUCAAAGUCACAACGUUGAAGUGCAUCUGUAGCUGAGGUAAACUCCAGUGGCUACACAGGAGACAAGAGCAAGAAACAUUCUGACUGCUAGCUUUCACUUUCUUUGGAGAAACAUUUUGGAUAAAACCCUGACCUGGUCUUCCCAUUGCUACAAUGUGCUAUCCUAUGACUUAUAAGGAACUGACUGUUGGCAGUAUUUCUGUUCCUUGAUUGCUUUGAUAAGCUGCUGUGUGUGAGGUAAGAGUAAAAUAAUGUAAGGAUCUUAAUUCAAUGUUUUCUGCAUUUUAGUUUGAUCCAGUCACUCUUCUAAAUCCCGUGUUUCCACAUCACAACUUCUGACCCCACUGGCUAGUUUCAACCAUAUAGAAAUGGUGCUUAUAGGCAGAGCCAUUUUCCCCAGCUGGAACUUCUGCCAAAGCUGCAUUUGCACCAUCCUUAAAGCAGUGCCACUACUCUGUUUUGUCACACAUCCGUGUCCUCUGCAUCAUCCCACAGUAGAACUGGGAGGAAUAGAAAGAAAACACUGGGGGGAUACUUUCAAACCACC